CUUGAUAGCUUUAUUUUAGAUCAUUCUUGCACUUAUAGGCAAUCACAUCUGUUAUACGUUGGCACAAAGUCUGAGGACUUCUUUAUUAUCAGCUUAUAACUGCUGUUUACAGUUCUUUACUGGUCUCAAAGGUCAGUUAAGGCAUAAGGAAAAUGACAGUCUGAGGAAAAGGAUCCAAAUGCAGGAAAAAUGAACUGACACAAAAACCUUUGUGUCUGAAAGGAGCUUGAGGUAGUCAACCCAUGACACACACUGCACACUGUAAAAUGUAAUAUUGUGUUUAAUUAAAAAUAUUAAAUAGGCUGAACUCAAUUUUUAUCAAUUUGUUAUUAGAACUCAAUUUAAAUAAGUUACCAGUGCUUUUUAUGCAACCUAAACUAAGUAAGCUGGAAGUUUUGCUUCUCAGUGCGGAAGGAUGAAAGAUGUGUUUUGGAAAAUGCCACGUGACUACCGUCCUCCUCCCUCUCGGAUCAGUCCGCAUGUUCACGGUGCAUUUUUUAUGGAAUAUGUUGAGCAAACCUGGAGAAGCCUCAGCUCAAGAUAUUAAUGUUGUCAUUGCUGUGGAUCUUUACCUGAUACACUGACUUGGCUCGGGACCAGCACUCCUGCUGUUGGACAGAAAGACAUCAACUUGAGAUAUGACUGCACUGUGCUGUUGCUGGUGACCACAGUUAAUUCUACAAGACAUGCUGUGACAACAGGAGAGAUGAGUCCUCCGUCACAGAUGGUGUGGUCAGUGAAGAUGGUCGCCUGCAGGUUCAAGCUCAUUGCAUCUCCAACCCACAUCCACUGCCACUGUACUUAAGGGAAGUUAAAGACUUUCUUCUGCACUUACAUUUGGAUCACCUCGAUCCAUGACAGUCAUUCAGGCAGUAAUGCCUGGACUGGAAACAAGCCAUCCUUAAAAUAUUACAACAUUCCAGCUCAUGUGUUGGAAUGAAAAACAAAUGUGUUGUUUAAAUUAGAGACUGCACUUGUGACAGAACAAUAAAUAUUUUAUUUUGAUUAUAUAAGUAAUGUAAGUACAAAACAAACUUGUGGUAGGCCUAAACUUAUUUUCAGAAUAAUUAAAUCUGAGACUUUGUUUCAUUGUAAGAUUAUAACAGUGAUGGCAAUAUAAUUGUCUGUUGUUCAGCAGAACAGUGUCCAGUAUGUUGGCUGUUAUACUUUGUUGUGUUUGAAAAUAAAAGUUGGGCUCAUUUUAACAUCAUUACAAAAAGUGUUGUUAAUUAUUUUUAAUCAUAUUCAGGUUACCACAAAUUGUUUUUUUCAUUUAGUUGAACUUAACAUGUUUUUUCAGUAGGUAAACAAUUAGUAUUGUACAGUCAGAAAUAUCAAGUUAUUGUUAAUACUGCAGACUUGCAAUGUAUAAGUUGUCCUAACAGUCAUCUUAAGUAAGCUUUACUUAGUUUUUUUUGAGGCAACGAGUUUCCAUAAUUUUUUUGAGUUCUGGGAACUAACAAGGCUGUACAGUGUACUCAAAAUGAGUAAGUUGCCCUAACUUGGUCAUCUUACGUAAACUUGAUCCAAUGUUUUUGAGUUCUGGGAACAAAUGAGCUUGUACAGAGUACUCAAAGUAAAUAAGUUGUCCUAACUUAGUCAGUUUUAGCUAAGCUUUACUCAAUUUUUUUGAGGCAACGAGUUUCCAUAAUUUUUUUGAGUUCUGGGAACUAAUUAGAUUUUACAGUGCAUUACAUACAUCGUUCACAGAACGGUUGCAAUCAUAAAACAUCUAUUUAAUACAGGCUUUGGACAAUGAGAAUGGUUCACAUAAUAUUAGUACCAACUUUUCAGAUGUAAAACAUUCUAAAACAUUAUUGGUCAGUUAUUUUGUUUGUGUUGAGCAACUGCUGCCAAAGAGAAAAAAUAACUCAAGUCUUCAAAAACAUGUAUAAAUAAGUAUUAGGCAAUACUAACUUUACUUUAAGGUGUGCUCCUUACAACACAUUCAUCAAAAAUGUAAUAAAAAAUAUAUAUAUAUAAAGCUGUAUAUAGAAACCAGAACACUGUAGCAAAGUUCAUGAGUCCAUCAAAAGCACACCUUACAGAAGCCUCAGUUAGUCCUCAACAUAAAAUCUUUCUCUACAUGUGUGAUAUACUUUCUCUUCUUCCCUUUUUUUCUCCAAGAGGACUUUGACAAUUGUAUUGCCUUUGGUAGGCAGUUACUUUUUAAACUUUGAAUUAGAAUUUCUGAAGAGGUUUUAGGAUCUGGGAUGAAUUUCUACCUGGGCAUACAAGCUCUCAGGCAAAGCUUUGCUUCUGGCCUCAGUGGAUCCGUUGGGUCCAGUGUGAGGUCUCACAAAGCUAUAGGUGGAUGUUGGAGAAGCAUCACUGAUUGGACUCUGUUCCACAGGUGGUGUUGUUUGGAUAACCUGGAAAAUAAAUUAUAAACAGCUUUUUUGCAAAGUGUAUUUCCCAUUUUCAUUCAGACUUUAUUUGUCAAUAGUGCCAUUAAACUGCAUUAACAUGAGCAGGAAUUUUACUGUGAUUAACAAGAGAUCACCUGUAUCCAUGACUGCAAAUAAAAUCCUGAUUUAUUGUAUUACAAUGAAUUUUUUAUCUCAAUACAUUUUAUUCAAAUGUGUUUAAUGCUUUAAAGAUAUUUUUAAUCAACAGUACAACAAUGUGUUAAAUAAUAUGAUUUGAUUUUGUCAAAGAAAUAAUUUUUUUCUGCUAAUAUAUUUUUUAAUUUAUUUUAUAUAUUUUAAAUUUCUUUUUAUUGCUCAUGUCCUGGUUACUUGGUGUGAGCAAAAAUUAAAAAGCAAGAAAAAAUAUGACUAGGAUUAAUUUAUGGACAUGAAAAUCUUUGACCUGACAAAAACUUUGACCACGAUACAAAGAGUUUAAAUGCAUGAUUGAAACUUUUUUUUUUUAAUUGCAGUUUUACAAUAUGAGACACAAGUUUUGGUGCUGUUAUGGUUCAGCUGGGUUGGGUUUAAAGCUUGUUUUAUUUCUUUUUAAUCUUUCUUUCUGUCAAAAGAUUUCAGGAUUUUCCUGUAAAGAAAGAACACAGAGAGAGAGAGACGAGUUAAACUCUAGGCAUAUGUAGCAAAUGGAGGCUUUUAAAAAAAAGUUUAGAGAUGUCCGCCAUGUCAUAAACAAAAGAAGGCAAAAUAAAGACAGAAAUAAUUGACAACUAUAUUAAUGAACAGACAACACAUACUCAAGUUGUUAUAUGUGAAAUUAUUUUUGGAAAGGGUCAGAGGAGAUAGUUUGAAUUUAGAACUCAGUGAUAAGAUGCAUGGUCAAAGGAGUUUGCAAAGAAAAGCGUCUGGACUUCUUUGAGUUGCUUGAAGACGUUUCACCUCUCAUCCGAGAAGCUUCUUCAGUUCUAAGGUCAAAUGGCCGAGAGUCCCAGAUUUAAACCCAGUGGGAGUAUAUAUAUAAUCACAUGUGAUUAGAGGAUCACCAG
ensembl:lncRNA